rnacentral:lncRNA from 1 species
CAAGUACUAGGGUCCGGAGACCUGCCUCAGAAUACUCAUUGAUGUGACACUUCGUUUUGCUCAGACAAGCUUUUCCAUUAUCUUUGGAGAGCCUUUCGAAUAUUACACUGAAGCACAAAGAUGAAAAGACAAAGGUACACAUUUCAACAGAACUUGGAGAAAGAAAAUAUUAGCAUGUGAAAUUCACAACUUCAAAUGGUAGAGUUUAAUAUGCUGACAACUUUAAGGUUAAUACUAUCGUGAUAUGGACAUGAAAUAAGCUUAUAAGUUACAAACAGUAAAUACAGAGUCAAACAUAUAAUAUUUCCAUCACAUGUAAAAAAGAUUAUCAAACCUGUCAGCUCCUUUGCAGAACAGGAAUAACCGACCCACUUCUGUCCUCACAAUAACAGACAUACGCUUACGAGCACUGCUGAACUCUA